ensembl:piRNA 21ur-3732 ncRNA
UAGUAUUUAACUAGUUCGCUA